rnacentral:rRNA from 1 species
GACGAACGCUGGCGGCGUGCCUAAUACAUGCAAGUAGAACGCAGUUGCGAACGGGUGAGUAACGCGUAGGGAACUGCCGCAUAGCGGGGGUUAACUAUUGGAAACGAAAGUAAAUACCGCAAAUGGUGAGAUGGAGCUGUGUUGUAUUAGCUAGUUGGUGAGGUAAAGGCUCACCAAGGCGACGAUCCAUAGCCGACCUGAGAGGGUGAUUGGCCCCACUGGGGCUGAGACACGGCCCAGGCUCCUACGGGGUGCAACAGUAGGGAAUCUUCGGCAAUGGGCGGCAGUCUGGCCGAGGACCUCCGCGUGAGUUAAGAAGGGUUUCGGAUCGUAAAGCUCUGUUGUUAGAGAAGCGGUAACUGCCCAGAAAGCGACGGCUAACUACGUGCCAGCAGCCGCGGUAAUAC